rnacentral:rRNA from 1 species
GACGAACGCUGGCGGCGUGCUUAACACAUGCAAGUCGAACGGUAAGGCCCUUUCGGGGGUACACGAGUGGCGAGCGGGUGAGUAACACGUGGGUAAUCUGCCCUGCACUUCGGGAUAAGCCUGGGAAAUUGGGUCUAAUACCGGAUAUGAGCUCUCACCGCAUGGCGGGGGUUGGAAAGUUUUUUCGGUGCAGGAUGAGCCCGCGGUCUAUCAGCUUGUUGGUGGGGUAAUGGCCUACCAAGGCGACGACGGGUAGCCGGCCUGAGAGGGUGAUCGGCCACACUGGGACUGAGACACGGCCCAGACUCCUACGGGAGGCAGCAGUGGGGAAUAUUGCACAAUGGGCGGAAGCCUGAUGCAGCGACGCCGCGUGGGGGAUGACGGUCUUCGGAUUGUAAACCCCUUUCAGUAGGGACGAAGCGCAAGUGACGGUACCUGCAGAAGAAGCACCGGCCAACUACGUGCCAGCCGCCGCGGUAACAC